CGUGUGGAAGGAAGACCCCUAAAGUCUUCCUCUUCAAAACCCUCCACUUCUCAAAACCUAACCGGUAACCACCUCUACAAUGGGCGUAGGCGACACUAUCCUCGCCGUUCAUCCACCGCCACCAACGGAUUCUAAUCAUUCCAUAGAUGAUUUCGAUUCCCUCCCAAUCCCUCCCCUCGAUCCCUUGUUCCUCUCUGCGCAAAAUUCCUCAUCCACCACCAUGUCUGGAGGGGAAAACCUUGUCUCCGAUUUACCCUUUUCCCUUGACGAUAGUUACGAUUUUGACAUCACCUUCCACGAUCUCGACAGCUUCUACUUUCCCUCCGAGAACGNNNNNNNNNNNNNACGACGUUUCUCUUCAAUCGGGUCCUAUCGAUGGUUUUGUUGAUGGUUUCACAGUCCAUGAGGCGAAAUCUGAUUGGCUUGAGUCGGGGAGCUCUGGAAUUUGUGGCAAUCAUGGUUCUGAUGUUUCUAAGUAUUUGAAUUGCUCGCUCUCGGAGUCUAGAAGUUGUAAUUCGGCCGAUCUAAGCUGCAAUUCUGAUAGGGGGUCGAAUUUUGCCUCGCCGAUAUCUUCUCAGGGCUCCGGAAAUGGUGGUGCGGGUGUAUCUGAAGCCAUGAAUGCUCCUUCUCCUGAUUCCGGUGCAUUUUUGGUUGAUCAGAAGAUCAAACUCGAAGGAGUAAAUGCCAAAAGUGGUGGCUUACCAAAGAGAAAGAAAGAGACCACUAGCGAGGAUGUUAAUGGCGAAACAAGAAAUCUAAAGUACCUAAGGUCAGAGAAUGCCGACCCAUAUUUGAAGGCAAAUUCUCUGUGUGGUAAUUUUGUUGAAUUGAGUGAAGAGGAGGAGAAAAGGAGGGCAAGGCUGAUGAGAAAUCGAGAGAGCGCGCAGCUUUCAAGGCAGAGAAAGAAGCAUUACGUGGAGGAGCUGGAAGACAAGGUGAGAGCAAUGCAUUCAACCAUUGCGGAAUUAAAUAGUAAAAUUUCAUUUUUUAUGGCUGAAAAUGCAAGUUUGAAGCAACAGUUGAGUGGCAAUGGUAUGUGCCCGCCCCCUAUGUAUCCACCAAUGACGCCCAUGCCAUAUCCAUGGGUGCCGUCCCCUUAUGUAGUUAAGCCGCAAGGGUCUCAUGUGCCGUUGGUUCCAAUCCCUAGAUUGAAAACACAGCAGCCUGUAUCUGCUGUAAAAGCUAAAAAAGCUGAGGGUAAGAAAGCUGGGGUUAAGACUAAGAAGGUUGCUAGUGUUAGCUUUUUGGGUUUGUUAUUUUUCAUUUUGUUGUUUGG
rnacentral:misc_RNA from 1 species